rnacentral:lncRNA from 1 species
GGACCGAGGCCCAGAGGCUCAUGUCCUUAUGUCCUGGCCUUUCCCCACCCCCUGCACUGUGCUCUGGAUCCUGCUGACUGCGCCGGAUUAUCUGGAAAUAAAGGCCACAGACCCUGAAACGAAAGGGAAAAGGCAGCCACCUUGCGCGGCUAGCAUGCAGGAAGGAGAGAAGAAAGCGUAGGUCGUCCUACACGCGGGCAGAAGCCAGGCAGCCGCGGCCUCCUCCUGCGGUGGGGCACCCCCUGCCGUGAGAACAAGUUUUUCCUUCAUUUUCCCAGGGAGGCCCCUGUUUACGUCCCCGCCUCCCCCCAGCAGCUGUCUGGAGGGUCCCCCGUGGAGUCCCGUGGAGAGAUGGCGGGAACAGCAGCCCAAGCUCUCGCAUGCUGAUGCCGGAGAAAAGUGAGCCUGAGUGUCGGUCAUUCCGGGUCAGUUUCCCCAGGUGUGGGCUGCGUGCGUCCUUUGCACACGUGAGCCUCAGAUCUCUUCUGGCCAGUUCCAGCUGUAAAGCAGAGAUUUCAACAGCUUCCCGUCUGGUCUCUCAUUUGUUCUUUAAAACCCCAAGGAGGCUGGCGGAUGCUAAGCCUGGAGGGCAGCAUCAGCACCAUUCUACUUUGGAAAUAAGGCCGAACGACGGGGUGCAGACCAGAAUGCAAAGAGCAAUCAGUGCAGUGAUACUUCUACGACCCACGAGGGAAGAGGGAUCCCACACAGAGGCCAUCACUCCUGCUGACAACAACUGGAGGGACCGGGUGCAUUACGAAAAUCUGACUGCUGAGGAUCAGAGAGCCCCAGGCGGCCGUGGGGCCAUGAGGACUUAAUGGCUGAAAUUCCAGAAAGAGGAGAACCAUCCAGGUGGCUGGUGAUUCACAGCCGUCUGUUCCCUGGGGCUAUUUCUCAGUUCUGGGUGCUGGGCUGGGAUUGGGCUUGGCCCCGGCAGGGAGCAGCUGAGGGGCAGAGCCCUUUCCACAGUCACGGGGACAAAAGCGGCAAAACAGGAGACUUCAGGUGUACCCUGGGUCCCAGAACGCUUGUAAAAUCUCGGUGCUGUGUGUGGCAGGAGACUAUGGCCGGCCAGCCUCUCAGUCAGAUCUCCGAAGAGACCAGGCCCCACACCGAGGCAAGCCAGAGCAAGAUCGCAAGACAGUCUCCCCAACUCCGCCCUGUCCUGCCCCGGGUCAGUCCAGGCCGGCUGGCCGGCUGAGGCACCUGCCCCUCCUCCUUCCCUAAUUGCCUGAGGGUUUGCUCCCAGGAACGGC